rnacentral:rRNA from 1 species
GUCGAGAAUCUUUCACAAUGGGGGCAACCCUGAUGGAGCGACGCCGCGUGGAGGAUAAGGUCUUCGGAUUGUAAACUCCUGUCAUGCGUGAACAAGGUUGCUUGGUUAAUACCUGGGCAAAUUGAUGGUAACGCAAGAGGAAGAGACGGCUAACUCUGUGCCAGCAGCCGCGGUAAUACAGAGGUCUCAAGCGUUGUUCGGAAUCACUGGGCGUAAAGGGUGCGUAGGUGGCGUGGUAAGUCAGAUGUGAAAGCCUGGGGCUCAACCUCGGAACUGCAUCCGAUACUGCCAUGCUAGAGUACUGGAGAGGUGACUAGAAUUCUCGGUGUAGCAGUGAAAUGCGUGGAUAUCGAGAGGAAUACCAAAGGCGUAGGCAGGUCACUGGACAGUUACUGACACUGAGGCACGAAGGCCAGGGGAGCGAACGGGAUUAGAAACCCGUGUAGUCC